GAUGAACGCUGGCGGCGUGCCUAAUACAUGCAAGUCGAGCGAAUGGAUUAAGAGCUUGCUCUUAUGAAGUUAGCGGCGGACGGGUGAGUAACACGUGGGUAACCUGCCCAUAAGACUGGGAUAACUCCGGGAAACCGGGGCUAAUACCGGAUAAUAUUUUGAACUGCAUGGUUCAAAAUUGAAAGGCGGCUUCGGCUGUCACUUAUGGAUGGACCCGCGUCGCAUUAGCUAGUUGGUGAGGUAACGGCUCACCCAGGCAACGAUGCGUAGCCGACCUGAGAGGGUGAUCGGCCACACUGGGGCUGAGACACGGCCCAGACGCCUACGGGAGGCAGCAGUAGGGAAUCUUCCGCAAUGGACGAAAGUCUGACGGAGCAACGCCGCGUGAGUGAUGAAGGCUUUCGGGUCGUAAAACUCUGUUGUUAGGGAAGAACAAGUGCUAGUUGAAUAAGCUGGCACCUUGACGGUACCUAACCAGAAAGCCACGGCUAACUACGUGCCAGCAGCCGCAGUAA
rnacentral:rRNA from 1 species